GAUGAAGAACAUAGCGAAAUGCGAUAAGUAAUGUGAAUUGCAGAAUUCAGUGAAUCAUCGAAUCUUUGAACGCACAUUGCGCCCCCUGGUAUUCCGGGGGGCAUGCCUGUCCGAGCGUCAUUACAACCCUCAAGCUCAGCUUGGUGUUGGGCCCCGCCGCCCCGGCGGGCCCUAAAGUCAGUGGCGGUGCCGUCCGGCUCCGAGCGUAGUAAUUCUUCUCGCUCUGGAGGUCCGGUCGUGUGCUCGCCAGCAACCCCCAAUUUUUUUCAGGUUGACCUCGGAUCAGGUAGGGAUACCCGCUGAACUUAAGCAUACAAUAAGCGGAGGA
rnacentral:misc_RNA from 1 species